AAUGAACGUUGGCGGCGUGGAUUAGGCAUGCAAGUCGAGCGAGAACCCUCCGCAAGGAGGGGGACAGCGGCGAAAGGGAGAGUAACGCGUGGAUUAUUUGCCCCCGGGACCGGGAUAGACGCGGGAAACUGCGGGUAAUACCGGAUGACGUCUCCGGACCAAAUGGUGUGAUUCCGCCAGGGGAUAAGUCCGCGUCCUAUUAGCUAGUUGGUGGGGUAAUGGCCUACGAAGGCAAUGAUGGGUACUGGGGCUGAGAGCACGACCCAGCUCAAUGGGACUGAGACACUGCCCAGACACCUACGGGUGGCUGCAGUCGAGGAUCUUCGGCAAUGGGCGCAAGCCUGACCGAGCGACGCCGCGUGUGGGAUGAAGGCCUUCGGGUUGUAAACCGCUGUCAGUGGGGAGGAAAUGUCUAGGGGUUCUCCCCUAGAUUUGACCUAUCCGCAGAGGAAGUCAGGGCUAAGUUCGUGCCAGCAGCCGCCGUAA
rnacentral:rRNA from 1 species